CCUACGGGUGGCAGCAGUGAGGAAUAUUGGUCAAUGGCCGUAAGGCUGAACCAGCCAAGUCGCGUGAAGGAAGAAGGAUCUAUGGUUUGUAAACUUCUUUUAUAGGGGAAUAAAGGUCUCCACGUGUGGAUAUUUGCAUGUACCCUAUGAAUAAGCAUCGGCUAACUCCGUGCCAGCAGCCGCGGUAAUACGGAGGAUCCGAGCGUUAUCCGGAUUUAUUGGGUUUAAAGGGAGCGUAGGUUGUAUUUUAAGUCAGCGGUGAAAGUUUGUGGCUCAACCAUAAAAUUGCCGUGGAAACUGGAAGGCUUGAGUGUGUGGGAGGUAGGCGGAAUGCGUGGUGUAGCGGUGAAAUGCAUAGAUAUCACGAAGAACUCCGAUUGCGAAGGCAGCUUACUAAGCCGUAACUGACACUGAAGCACGAAGGCGUGGGGAUCAAACAGGAUUAGAUACCCGGGUAGUC
rnacentral:rRNA from 1 species